GAUGAACGCUGGCGGCGUGCCUAAUACAUGCAAGUCGUACGGAAAGGCCCUUCGGGGUACUUGAGUGGCGGACGGCUGAGUAACGCGUGGGAACGUGCCCCAAAGUGAGGGACAACGCACCGAAAGGUGUGCUAAUACCGCAUAUGGUCUUCGGAUAAAAGCUUCGGCGCUUUGGGAGCGGCCCGCGUACGAUUAGAUAGUUGGUGAGGUAAUGGCUCACCAAGUCGACGAUCGUUAGCUGGUCUGAGAGGAUGAUCAGCCAGACUGGGACUGAGACACGGCCCAGACUCCUACGGGAGGCAGCAGUAAGGAAUCUUCCACAAUGGGGGCAACCCUGAUGGAGCAACGCCGCGUGCAGGAUGAAGGUUUUCGGAUCGUAAACUGCUUUUAUAAGUGAAGAAUAUGACGGUAACUUAUGAAUAAGGAUCGGCUAACUACGUGCCAGCCGCCGCAGUAA
rnacentral:rRNA from 1 species